AUUGAACGCUGGCGGCAGGCCUAACACAUGCAAGUAGAACGAGUGGCGGACGGGUGAGUAAUGUCUGGGAACCUGCCUUAUGUCGGGGGAUAACUACUGGAAACGGUAGCUAAUACCGCAUACCAUCAGAUGUGCCCAGAUGGGAUUAGCUAGUGGGUGGGGUAACGGCUCACCCAGGCGACGCUCCCUCGCUGGUCUGAGAGGAUGACCGGCCACACUGGACCUGCGACCCGGUCCAGACUCCUACGGGACGCAGCAGUGGGGAAUAUUGCACAAUGGGCGCAAGCCUGAUGCCGCCAUGCCGCGUGUAUGAAGAAGGCCUUCGGGUUGUAAAGUACUUUCAGCGGUGAGGCGUUACCCGCAGAAGAAGCACCGGCGAACGCCGUGCCAGCAGCCGCGGUAAUUC
rnacentral:rRNA from 1 species